UACGUAGGGUGCGAGCGUUAAUCGGAAUUACUGGGCGUAAAGCGUGCGCAGGCGGUUUUGUAAGCCAGAUGUGAAAUCCCCGGGCUUAACCUGGGAAUGGCAUUUGGGACUGCAAGGCUGGAGUGUGGCAGAGGAGACUGGAAUUCCUGGUGUAGCAGUGAAAUGCGUAGAUAUCAGGAGGAACACCGGUGGCGAAGGCGGGUCUCUGGGCAGUAACUGACGCUGAGGAGCGAAAGCGUGGGGAGCGAACAGG
rnacentral:rRNA from 1 species